GAUGAACGCUGACAGAAUGCUUAACACAUGCAAGUCUACUUGAUUCUACUUCGGUAGUUGAUGGUGGUGGACGGGUGAGUAACGCGUAAAGAAUCUGCCCUUUAGUUUGGGAUAACCUUUGGAAACGAAGGCUAAUACCGGAUAUUAUGGAGACGUCGCGUGGCGACUCCAUGAAAGCUAUAUGCGCUAGAGGAGGACUUUGCGUCCCAUUAGUUAGUUGGUGAGGUAAUGGCUCACCAAGACCGCGAUGGGUAGCCGGCCUGAGAGGGUGAUCGGCCACAAGGGAACUGAGACACGGUCCUUACUCCUACGGGAGGCAGCAGUGGGGAAUAUUGGACAAUGGGCCACAAGCCUGAUCCAGCAAUUCUGUGUGCACGAUGAAGGUCUUCGGAUUGUAAAGUGCUUUCAGUAGGGAAGAAAAAAAUGACGGUACCUACAGAAGAAGCGACGGCUAAAUAUGUGCCAGCAGCCGCCGUAACAC
rnacentral:rRNA from 1 species